rnacentral:rRNA from 1 species
AUUGAACGCUGGCGGCAGGCCUAACACAUGCAAGUCGAACGAGUGGCGGACGGGUGAGUAAUGUCUGGGAAACUGCCCGAUGGAGGGGGAUAACUACUGGAAACGGUAGCUAAUACCGCAUACCAUCAGAUGUUCCCAGAUGGGAUUAGCUAGUAGGUGGGGGAAUGGCUAACCUAGGCGACGCUCCCUAGCUGGUCUGAGAGGAUGACCAGCAACACUGGAACUGAGACACGGUCCAGACUCCUACGGGAGGCAGCAGUGGGGAAUAUUGCAAAAGGGGCGAAAGCCGGAUGCAGCCAGGCCGCGUGUAUGAAGAAGGCCUUCGGGUUGUAAAGUACGUUCAGCGAGGAGGCGGUACUCGCAGAAGAAGCACCGGCUAACUCCGUGCCAGCAGCCGCGGUAAUUC